rnacentral:rRNA from 1 species
ACUUAAAUUGAAGAGUUUGAUCAUGGCUCAGAUUGAACGCUGGCGGCAGGCCUAACACAUGCAAGUCGAGCGGUAGCACAGAGAGCUUGCUCUCGGGUGACGAGCGGCGGACGGGGGAGUAAUGUCUGGGAAACUGCCUGAUGGAGGGGGAUAACUACUGGAAACGGUAGCUAAUACCGCAUAACGUCGCAAGACCAAAGUGGGGGACCUUCGGGCCUCAUGCCAUCAGAUGUGCCCAGAUGGGAUUAGCUAGUAGGUGGGGUAACGGCUCACCUAGGCGACGAUCCCUAGCUGGUCUGAGAGGAUGACCAGCCACACUGGAACUGAGACACGGUCCAGACUCCUACGGGAGGCAGCAGUGGGGAAUAUUGCACAAUGGGCGCAAGCCUGAUGCAGCCAUGCCGCGUGUGUGAAGAAGGCCUUCGGGUUGUAAAGCACUUUCAGCGGGGAGGAAGGCGUUAAGGUUAAUAACCUUGGCGAUUGACGUUACCCGCAGAAGAAGCACCGGCUAACUCCGUGCCAGCAGCCG